CGAGUAGGCGGUGGAGCAAGUCUGAGGUGGAAUCCUAUGGCUUAACCAUAGAACUGCCUUAGAAACUGUUUCACUUGAGUCAGUGAGGGGAGUGCGGAAUUCCUGGUGUAGCGGUGAAAUGCGUAGAUAUCAGGAGGAAGGCCUGUGGCGAAGGCGGCCCUCUGGCACUGCACUGACGCUGAGGCGCGAAAGCGUGGGGAGCAAACAGGAUUAGAUACCCUGGUAGUCCACGCCCUAAACGGUGGGCAUUAGGUGUAGGGCUCGUAAGGGUUCUGUGCCGAAGGGAAACCAUUAAAUGCCCCGCCUGGGGAGUACGGCCGCAAGGUUGAA
rnacentral:rRNA from 1 species